rnacentral:rRNA from 1 species
GUAAUAUAUCGGAACGUGCCCUAAAGUGGGGGAUAACGUACGAAAGUUACGCUAAUACCGCAUACGAUCUACGGAUGAAAGUGGGGGAUCGCAAGACCUCAUGCUCGUGGAGCGGCCGAUAUCUGAUUAGCUAGUUGGUGGGGUAAAAGCCUACCAAGGCGAGAUCAGUAGCUGGUCUGAAGGACGACAGCAACUGGGACUGAGACACGGCCCAGACUCCUACGGGAGGCAGCAGUGGGGAAUUUUGGACAAUGGGGGCAACCCUGAUCCAGCAAUGCCGCGUGUGUGAAGAAGGCCUUCGGGUUGUAAAGCACUUUUGACAGGAACGAAACGGACUGAGUUAAUACCUUGGUCUAAUGACGGUACCUGACGGAAUAAGCACCGGUAAUACGUGCCAAGCA